rnacentral:rRNA from 1 species
GACGUAGGGCGCGAGCGUUGUCCGGGUUUAUUGGGCGUAAAGAGCUCGUAGGCGGCUCGUUGCGUCAACCGUGAAAACCCGGGGCUUAACUUCGGGCUUGCGGUUGAUACGGGCGGGCUGGAGUUCGGUAGGGGAGACUGGAAUUCCUGGUGUAGCGGUGAAAUGCGCAGAUAUCAGGAGGAACACCGGUGGCGAAGGCGGGUCUCUGGGCCGAUACUGACGCUGAGGAGCGAAAGCGUGGGGAGCGAACAGG